UACAGAGGUCUCAAGCGUUGUUCGGAUUCAUUGGGCGUAAAGGGUGUGUAGGUGGCGCGCUAAGUCGGGUGUGAAAUUUCGGAGCUUAACUCCGAAACUGCAUUCGAUACUGGCGUGCUUGAGGACUGGAAAGGAGACUGGAAUUCAUGGUGUAGCAGUGAAAUGCGUAGAGAUCAUGAGGAAGACCAGUGGCGAAGGCGGGUCUCUGGACAGUUCCUGACACUGAGACACGAAGGCCAGGGGAGCAAACGGG
rnacentral:rRNA from 1 species